GUUGCAGCUCAAUGGUAGAGCACUUGCCUAGCAUGGGUGAGGCACUGAGUUCAAUCCUCAGCACCACA
rnacentral:tRNA from 1 species